AGUGGAGACACGUGCUUUGGCCUGUUGGAGGGGAAACCCGCUCUCGCCUCCUGGUGGUCGCCGACUCGCAGUCCGCAGGAUGACUCAGGGCAGCCCUGACCACAGUUCCGCCGCCAUCGGCCCUAGCCUGCGGAAUUGGGCUCGCCCCGGGACGAUAACAGAGCUCUGCCGGGGGCUGGAGGCACUGACCGGGUGACCAGAGACCCAGAGACCAGACCCCCUCCACGGCGCCCGGGAUUUCGGGGACGGCUUCUCCCAUCGCAAGUUUCAACAGAAAAUGAGAAAUAUCCCCCGACGAUUGGCUGAAAACAUGCAGCAACCACUAUUUUCUUCCUGCCCCUCGUUGAUGAGAGCAUUCGAAGUGACCUCAGCAGGGCAUCCAGGUGUCAGUUUCUGGAAGACUUGUGUGUGUGAUGAAUGAAUAUCUGGUUUUGUCUCUGCUGGGCCUGUGUGCCUGGAAAGGAAUUGUUUUGGCCUAGGAUCAUCCAGGUUUGUUUGGUUUAGUUCUUGACCACAUAUUUUUUGAAUGGUGACUGCUUAAGACCCUGUUGUGUAUGGCUAUAAAUAGAUACACGCCAAGGUGACCACAUACUCUGUGGUUCCUGUGCCCGCCGGCCAUGUGUCUGAGUGUGUAGCCUCUCAUCAUCUAAAGGAACUUUGGCUGCAGAGGGGAGGCCUGGUCCCAUGGGAAGUUUUGGGAGCGCAGCAGCAGGUGGGUUCAAACGACCCAGCAAGUGCCUCCUUAGCACUUAGAGGCGGAGGCCACCACGUUGUCCACGUGGGGUUUCUGAUCCCAGCUCCCCACCAGCCUGCUGGACCUCGGGCAGGUCCCUCCCUGUUUGUACCUCCAUUACUUCUUCAGUAAGAUGGGGACACUGAAGAUGACCAUGCCUCCCACCAGAUUGGUGCUUUUUUUGUUUUAAUAAGGGACAGAGUCUCACUAUGUUGCCUAUAGGCUGGUCUCAAGCUCUUGGCCUCAGUUUUCCUGCCUCAGCCUUCAAAUAUGCUGGGGUGACAGGCAUGAGCCACUGCACUGGCCCAGAUUGGUACAUUUGAGGGUUAAAUGAGCAAAUCCUAUAAAGCACUCAGGAGAGGGCUGUGGGGUUUGGGCUGGGGCCUGGGAGCACUUUAGACGUGGUAGCUAUGUUGUUGUCACCUUUCUCCUCUUUCAAAGCAUUUUUUGUUUGUUUGUUUUUGUUUUUGAGACAGAGUUUCGCUCUUGUGGCCCAGGCUGGAGUGCGGUGGUGUGACCUCGGCUCACUGCAUCCUCCGCCUCCCGGGUUCAAGUGAUGGGAUUACAGGUGCCUGCCACAACGCCCAGCUAAUUGUUUGUAUUUUUAGUAGAGACGAGGUUUCACCAUGUUGGCCAGGCUGGUCUCGGUUGACUCCCACACGAGGCUCCGUAAGCCACAUUUUACCUUCUAUGCGUGGCUGGCCCCAUUGAGUAGAUUUCUGAAAGUCAAAUUUCUGACAUGAGCCUAUUUGAAAACUUUGCUCAGUUGUCAUCUUCUAUCAGGAUGAGUUAUGGACGAAGCCCCCCAUAAAU
rnacentral:lncRNA from 10 species